rnacentral:tRNA from 1 species
GGGGAUUUAGCUCAGUGGAAGAGCGCUUGCUUAGCAAGCACAAGGUCCUGGGUUCGGUCCCCAGCUCCG